GACUUGUGCUCUUCUGAUCUCUGGGUAUGUUAGUUUGGAAAAGAGUAGAUUAAGGAGAGAUAUGAUAGCAGUCUUCAGAUAUUUGAAAGGCUGCCAUAAAAAAGAUGGAGAAAAUUAUUCUCUUUUGCCAUAGAGGGCAGGACAGGCAAUGGGUCCAAACUACAGCAUAGCAGAUUUA